rnacentral:rRNA from 1 species
AACGAACGCUGGCGGCAUGCCUAACACAUGCAAGUCGAACGAGACCUUCGGGUCUAGUGGCGCACGGGUGCGUAACGCGUGGGAAUCUACCCUCAGGUUCGGAAUAACUCAGAGAAAUUUGAGCUAAUACCGGAUGAUGACGUAAGUCCAAGAAUUAUUGCCAUAGGAUGAGCCCGCUUAGGAUUAGGUAGUUGGUGAGGCAAAGGCCCACCAAGCCGACGAUUCUUAGCUGGUCUGAGAGGAAGAUCCGCCACACUGGGACUGGGACACGGCCCGGACUCCUCCGGGAGGCACCAGUGGGGAAUAUUGGACAAUGGCCUAAAGCAUGAUCCAGCACUGCCGGGUGAGUGAUGAAGGCCUUGGGGUUGUAAAGCUCUUUUACCCGGGCUGAUAAUGACAGUACCGGGAGAAUAAGCUCCGGCUAACUCCGUG